GAUGAACGCUGGCGGCGUGCCUAAUACAUGCAAGUCGAGCGAACAGACGAGGAGCUUGCUCCUCUGACGUUAGCGGCGGACGGGUGAGUAACACGAGGAUAACCUACCUAUAAGACUGGGAUAACUUCGGGAAACCGGAGCUAAUACCGGAUAAUAUAUUGAACCGCAUGGUUCAAAAGUGAAAGACGGUUUUGCUGUAACUUAUAGAUGGAUCCGCGCCGCAUUAGCUAGUUGGUAAGGUAACGGCUUACCAAGGCAGCGAUGCGUAGCCGACCUGAGAGGGUGAGCGGCCACACUGGAACUGAGACACGGUCCAGACUCCUACGGGAGGCAGCAGUAGGGAAUCUUCCGCAAUGGGCGAAAGCCUGACGGAGCAACGCCGCGUGAGUGAUGAAGGUCUUCGGAUCGUAAAACUCUGUUAUUAGGGAAGAACAAAUGUGUAAGUAACUAUGCACGUCUUGACGGUACCUAAUCAGAAAGCCACGGCUAACUACGUG
rnacentral:rRNA from 1 species